rnacentral:rRNA from 1 species
UACAGAGGUCUCAAGCGUUGUUUGGAUUCAUUGGGCGUAAAGGGUGCGUAGGCGGCGCGGUAAGUCGGGUGUGAAAUCUUGGAGCUUAACUCCGAAACUGCAUUCGAUACUGCCGUGCUUGAGGACUGGAGAGGAGACUGGAAUUUACGGUGUAGCGGUGAAAUGCGUAGAUAUCGUAAGGAAGACCAGUGGCGAAGGCGGGUCUCUGGACAGUUCCUGACGCUGAGGCACGAAGGUCAGGGGAGCAAACGGG